rnacentral:rRNA from 1 species
CGGCGGACGGGUGAGUAACGCGUGGGUAACCUGCCUCAUACAGGGGGAUAACAGUUGGGAACGGCUGCUAAUACCGCAUAAGCGCACAGUACCGCAUGGUACGGUGUGAAAAACUCCGGUGGUAUGAGAUGGACCCGCGUCUGAUUAGGUAGUUGGUGGGGUAACGGCCUACCAAGCCGACGAUCAGUAGCCGACCUGAGAGGGUGACCGGCCACAUUGGGACUGAGACACGGCCCAA